CCACUUGGAGUUUAUCGCAUACGAGAGCUUGGAUCUGGGGGAGGAUAUCUAGGGCUCCGCCUUCCGACAUGGAUUCGGGCAAGAAAUUCCGCUCAGCCCUAGAUGCCGGCGAUCAGAGAUGAGAGGCGGCCGCGAGGGAGGAAGGAGAAGGUUUCACGACGCGAGGGAGGAGAGAGAAAGUUCGCGCCGCAAGGGCUCUGUUUCCCGCCCUUUCUACGCUGCGGUUCCAGUGGGGGAGGUUUUUAAGGAGGCGGAAAUUCGCACGCGCGAGCGACGUAGCGAUUGAGGAGAACGGAGAACCGACCGAGAGGGAAAUUGGAACUCGUAGUGGUCGAAGCAG
rnacentral:lncRNA from 1 species